rnacentral:rRNA from 1 species
UACGUAGGUGACAAGCGUUAUCCGGAUUUACUGGGUGUAAAGGGCGUGUAGGCGGCUUUGCAAGUCAGAAGUGAAAUUCCCGGGCUUAACCUGGGCGCUGCUUCUGAAACUGUAAAGCUUGAGUACUGGAGGGGAAAGCGGAAUUCCUAGUGUAGCGGUAAAAUGCACAGAUAUUAGGAGGAACACCGGUGGCGAAGGCGGCUUUCUGGACAGUAACUGACGCUGAGGCGCGAAAGCGUGGGGAGCAAAC